AAUGCAGUUCAAGUACUGUUAUUUCGGUAUGUUUUUGUUGGCUGUGUCAGUUUGUUUUCAUUUAAUUUUAAGUGUACAUUGUUGUUUCAAAAAGUGUAAAAUUUAAAUUAUAGAAUUAAAUUAUAUUUGUUAACAUAUAUUGUUCGGGGGUUCCCACCGUAUUUCGCUUUAUUCAUAUUCGUUGUGAACGUAGCUUUGUUAAUGAACAUUUUAGAAAAUCAAGUUAGUUUGCAAGGAGGAUGUGUAUUAUAUAACAUCAAAUCCUAAGAAAAACACCUAGGUCUCUAUUAGGCCUGAUAUGUUGUGCAUGUUUGCACAAUCUCUAUUGGAAAUCCAACCCACGACCUUCGUUCUGACAAUGUCCCAAGUUUAAAGAACUAAAACAGGACAAAGAUGGUGUCAUCAUUGAGCCACAAAAUUACCUGUCAAUCUAAAAGUAUGUCCAUUAAGUUGUUUACAACAUUUGCAACAAAGAAGCUGUCCAAGCAAAAAAUUCAAAUUACCAAAUACUAACAAUUUUUUUCUAACAUUCUUAUAAGUCUGACAUUGAAAUUAUUCAAUUUAUCAUAAUCUAACCAACAGCAGAAAAAACAAAGCACUUUAUAACGUGUUACCCGUGCAAGUUUUAUUUUAUAUUACG